rnacentral:rRNA from 1 species
GACGAACGCUGGCGGCGUGCUUAACACAUGCAAGUCGAACGGAAAGGCCCUGCUUUUGUGGGGUGCUCGAGUGGCGAACGGGUGAGUAACACGUGAGUAACCUGCCCUUGACUUUGGGAUAACUUCAGGAAACUGGGUCUAAUACCGGAUAUGAGCUCCUUCUUCAUGGUGGGUGUUGGAAAGUUUCUGCGGUUGGGGAUGGACUCGCGGCUUAUCAGCUUGUUGGUGGGGUAGUGGCUUACCAAGGCUUUGACGGGUAGCCGGCCUGAGAGGGUGACCGGCCACAUUGGGACUGAGAUACGGCCCAGACUCCUACGGGAGGCAGCAGUGGGGAAUAUUGCACAAUGGGCGGAAGCCUGAUGCAGCAACGCCGCGUGAGGGAUGACGGCCUUCGGGUUGUAAACCGCUUUCGCCAGGGACGAAGCGUGAGUGACGGUAAUGGGUAAAGAAGCACCGGCUAACUACGUG